rnacentral:rRNA from 1 species
GAUGAGCGCUGGCGGCGUGCCUAAUACAUGCAAGUCGAGCGAACAGACGAGGAGCUUGCUCCUCUGACGUUAGCGGCGGACGGGUGAGUAACACGUGGAUAACCUACCUAUAAGACUGGGAUAACUUCGGGAAACCGGAGCUAAUACCGGAUAAUAUAUUGAACCGCAUGGUUCAAUAGUGAAAGACGGUUUUGCUGUCACUUAUAGAUGGAUCCGCGCCGCAUUAGCUAGUUGGUAAGGUAACGGCUUACCAAGGCAACGAUGCGUAGCCGACCUGAGAGGGUGAUCGGCCACACUGGAACUGAGACACGGUCCAGACUCCUACGGGAGGCAGCAGUAGGGAAUCUUCCGCAAUGGGCGAAAGCCUGACGGAGCAACGCCGCGUGAGUGAUGAAGGUCUUCGGAUCGUAAAACCCUGUUAUUAGGGAAGAACAAAUGUGUAAGUAACUAUGCACGUCUUGACGGUACCUAAUCAGAAAGCCACGGCUAACUACGUG